GCAUUUGAAUUAACUUGCAUCAUGAGAAAAUUCAUUAAGUUUUAAAGGUCUUUGAUAUUUGAAUUAAAUUGACGUUUUUACUAUAUGUAGGAAGCUUAUUGGAGCAAGAUAUUUCUACAAAGGUUAUGAGGCAAAUGCAGGUACAAAACUGAAUGCCUCAGAGCUUAGUGUACGUGACUAUGAACGUAGCUGGUUCACAUACUUUAUCAACCGCAGGUGGUAACUUUGUUCCUGGAGCUAGUGUAUUUGGCUUCGGCAAUGGAAUUGCAAGUGCUGGAUCACCAAAAGCUCGAGUUGCAGUGUUAUGAAUGAAAACACAGAGCAUGAUGCAACAAAGCUUGAGGCAGAAGCAAAAGAAGAAGAAGAACACAGAAGGACAAAAAGGGUAAUUAGUAAACCACGGUACCUUGAGGAUUAUGUAACCAAAUGACGCUGAGCUGGCAAUCCUCUUCUAGAAGCAGAAUCCAGGAAUUCCCCUGUGCCGUUAGAGGCUGUCUCCAUGAUUAGCGCAAUGUUUAUUUUCCUCCAAGGCAUAUAAUGUCAAAUUCUGUUAGAAUAUGUAUCUAGAAUGUGCACUGGAAUAUCUACAUAUAUGAGGAUAUGUAAUUCUUAUAGAGGCAAUAAAACAGUUUUAUCCUUACCUUCUUCUCUGCUAUGGAGGUCCUAGACCUCGAAUCCUAGGUUAGCUCUGUAGUCUACAACAUGCAGCCUAAGGCAUGUUGGCCAGCUACGUUCGGUGGUGGAUGUUUAGAUGCAGACAUUUUGGCUACUUUUUAGGCUGCCAUAAGUAACGGCAUUAACGCGAUUUAGGUGUCGUUGGGUUCAGAUAUUGCAUCGGAAUGUUUCUAAGAUGCUACUUCAAUAGGGUCCUUCCAUGCAGUUGCCAACGACAUAACAGUAGUGGCUUCUGGAGGAAAUUCAGGACCUUCUCCUGGAACUGUAUCCAACAACGAACCUUGGAUGCUCACAGUUGCAGCAAGCACAAUUGAUAGAGACUUCGCUGGUUAUGUUACACUUGGCGACAAGAAAAUUAUCAAGGUAAACUAUUUAUUAUAGAACCUUGUCUUGUUAUAUGAAAAUAUGUCACUUUAGUUUGUUAUCUUUUUUCGUUUUCAAGUCAAAAUUUCCAAUAUCAAGUACAAGCAGAAAUCUUUUAUCAGGAUGCUGAAGAGGAUCAUGUGACAUAAGGCACUAACCUACACUCCUGUUCGUUCUGUUAUUGUUAGGGAGCUAGUCUUUCGGAGCAUCACUUACCAUCUAAUAAGAUGUACCCAUUGGUUAGUUCUAUUGAUGCCAAAGCUAAUGAUGCAUCUAUUGUGGAAGCUUAAGAAUAUGCAUACCAACUUGGCCUUCUAAAUUAACUUUAUAUUGGGGAUGUUCUCUUAUAAUUAGUCCAUUCUUGCAGCGCUUAUUGCGACUAUGGAACUCUUGUUCCUGAGAAGGCAAAGAGAAAAAUGUUGGUCUGUUUUGGUGGUGGAACUGACAAGGGUGUGGAAGUUAUUAGGCGCUGUUGGAUUGAUUUUGAACCUCCAUUUGCCUUCCUCUUAAGAAAAUUUGAUAUUAC
rnacentral:lncRNA from 1 species